UCUCCUCUACGUAGUCCCACUUUCCAAAG
rnacentral:piRNA from 1 species